rnacentral:rRNA from 1 species
CCUCGGGACUCGGCGUACCGCUCAGUAACACGUGGGUAACCUGCCCUAUGCUGGGGAAUAACCUCGGGAAACUGAGAAUAAUGCCCCAUAGCCCACUACGCCUGGAACGGUGAGUGGGUCAAAGCCCCGGCGGCAUAGGAUGGGCCUGCGCCGUAUCAGGUUGUAGGGGGUGUAAAGUACCCUCUAGCCAUCAACGCGUACGGGUGUUGGGAGACAUUGCCCGGAGAUGGAUUCUGAGACACGAAUCCAGACCCUACGGGGUGCAGCAGGCGCGAAAACUUGGCAAUGCGAGAAAUCGUGACCAGGGAACUCCAAGUGCGUAGGGUAAGACCUACGCUUUUCUUGACUCUUCAAAGGUCUUGGAAUAAGGGGUGGGUAAGGACGGUGCCAGCCGCCGCGGUAAUACCGGCGCCUCAAGUGGUAGUCGCUUUUAUUGGGCCUAAAACGUCCGUAGCCGGUCUGGUGCAUUCGUGGGUAAAUCAACCCGCUCAACGGGUUGAAUUCUGCGAGCACGGCCAGACUUGGGACCGGGAGAGGUGUGGGGUACUCUCAGGGUAGGGGUAAAAUCCUGUCAUCCUGAGAGGACCACCUGUUGCGAAGGCGCCACACUAGAACGGAUCCGACGGUCAGGGACGAAACCUAGGGGCACGAACCGGAUUAGAUACCCGGGUAGUCCUAGGUGCCG